CGUUAAUAUUAUAACGUUAUUUUAUAUAAUUAAUAACUAAUAACUAAUAUGUAUAAUAUUUUCCAUUGGUAUUUAGAAUUUGUCAGUUGGUUUCAAUUAUAUUAUACUACCUAUAAUAUUUAUGAAUAACACUGUUAGCUGUUUAGUAUAUAGAUUCUCAACAAUUUACGUUUCAAGGAGAACAAACUAAAAUAUGAGGUACUUGUUGAAUUUUUAAUUUAUCGAGGUUGAUUAAAUGUUAUUGAACUGACUGGGGGAAUUCCUUUCUUUUGGAAUGGCACAUGUCGUUAAUCUCUAUAGUACCGGCUAUUAUCAAAACUCGGACAAAAUAUUACAAUCAUUCAAUAAAUUACUUAGGUAGUAAGUACCUACCUAAAAUACGACAUUACAAAAAUAACACUAUAGAAUAACUAUAAAAAC